rnacentral:lncRNA from 1 species
ACAAAAAAUGUAUUAACGAUAAGAUCUAAAGACCUAAUGCUAGAGACUCAAAAUGAAUCAAAACAUGAGGAUACAAUAAGAACAUGACUUUGUAUAUAUGUCUUUUGAUCUGUCUCACUAUGCUAUGAAUGUGUGGUCUAAGAUCGUCAAAAAUCUUCCUAUUUCUCACCAUCCAGAUGUAGUAAACGGUGCAAGCGAGUGCAAUUCUCUUAGCUUUGCUUUGCCAAGAUGUCCCUCGAGCUUCCUUUUUAAUCCACUUCAAAGCACUAGCUAGUGUAGACAUGGAUCGUCUCAUUCCCAGCCACUUUCGGAUCUGUCCCCAUGUUUUGUUGCUGAACGAGCAUUCAAAAAAUAGGUUCUUACCAGAUUCUUCCUUAAAUCCACAGAAAACACAGCUUCGAUCUAUUUCCAAAUGUUGUGAUUUAUCUUUGGUAAGUAGCCUAGAUU